rnacentral:tRNA from 1 species
UCCGUGGUAGCUCAAUGGUGGAGCAUUCGGCUGUUAACCGAAGGGUUGGAGGUUCGAGUCCUCUCCACGGAG